GUGAAUCAUCAAAUCUUUGAACGCAAAUUGCACUAUCCGGUUUUCCGGGAGAGUAUGCCUGUUUGAGGGUCAGCCUAAAAAAAAUCGACAUAGUUGCUGUUACGCGGUAACAUUCGUCGGAAAUUGGGUCAUCUUAAACCUUUGGGUUUAAGCGGCUUAAAAUUUUCUUUACGAUUCUAAGAACGUUUCUAAGAUUUUAUUUUUUUAUACGUUUAAGGUAUCGAUCUUUAUGAGACGUGGCCGUUGCAUCGGAUCUCGUCAAUAAAUAUUUCGUUAACG
rnacentral:misc_RNA from 1 species